rnacentral:rRNA from 1 species
AUUGAACGCUGGCGGCAGGCCUAACACAUGCAAGUCGAGCGGAUGAAGGGAGCUUGCUCCUGGAUUCAGCGGCGGACGGGUGAGUAAUGCCUAGGAAUCUGCCUGGUAGUGGGGGAUAACGUCCGGAAACGGGCGCUAAUACCGCAUACGUCCUGAGGGAGAAAGUGGGGGAUCUUCGGACCUCACGCUAUCAGAUGAGCCUAGGUCGGAUUAGCUAGUUGGUGGGGUAAAGGCCUACCAAGGCGACGAUCCGUAACUGGUCUGAGAGGAUGAUCAGUCACACUGGGACUGAGACACGGUCCAGACUCCUACGGGAGGCAGCAGUGGGGAAUAUUGGACAAUGGGCGAAAGCCUGAUCCAGCCAUGCCGCGUGUGAAGAAGGUCUUCGAAUUGUAAAGCGCUUUAAGUUGGGAGGAAGGGCAGUAAGUUAAUACCUUGCUGUUUUGACGUUACCAACAGAAUAAGCACCGGCUAACUUCGUG